GAGGGUAUAGCUCAAGUGGAAGAGCGCACGCUUAGCAUGCAUGAGGUCCUGGGUUCAAUGCCCAGUACCUCCU
rnacentral:tRNA from 1 species